AAAACCUGAAUAAUCAAAGUCUACUGAUUAAUUAGUGUAAUAAUCGCUGAUUAGUUGAUUAAUCAUUUUAAUAAUCGUUAAGAUUAAUCGAUUAUUAAAAUAAUCGUUUGUUGCGGCCCUAUUUGUGACCCUGGAGGAGGACUGAAGGACUGACGGCACACGAGCGGCCACAUGUAAGAAAGCCUGCGUGUGGAAGCGCUGUGUGUUUCUGUGACGCGUCUUCAGUCUGUAGAUGAGAUCAGUUCCUCUUUCAUUCUGAUCCGGCAGCUCUGUCAGUCAUUGUUUGAGCUGGUUUCAUCAAUGAUCUGUUCACACUCGAGUGCGUCACGAAGGACUUACAGUCUCUUCAGCUCAUGAUUACAAACAUAAACGCUUCUCUGAUAUGAGCUCCAUCUGAGUGUCUCACCAGACAUUCUGCUCUCUUCAUAUCAUGAGAAGAAAAGAUGCUGCUUUGGUGAAUGUACAUUAAUGAGC
ensembl:lncRNA